rnacentral:misc_RNA from 1 species
GAUAAAGAUCAAAUGAAGUUGGAUAAAAAUUAAAGAAAUGGAGCACCAAUAAGUUAAAUGAGCCUAGGUCACAGCGAUGAGUGACCUACAUGGAAAGCAACUAUAAGUUCAGUUGCUACCCUAAAUUCAUGUGGGAACCUAUGGAGAUCUUAAUGAAGGAAUUAUUUAGAAAUUAAUGGGAAUUUGAAAAUCAUAGACAUGAAAAGAGAAUAAGUACCAAUAAGUGAAUCAUAACCUUAGGACUCAUCGGGAGUUAUGAGAAAAGAUGGAUUAUAACCCGACGAAAAGCAUUUUGGUCAAUUCACUUCAAGAGUUGACUUUUGACCUAAAUGUCCAUUAAUUUGAAUAAGAUCAAAACAUUGAAAAAGAAGUAAAAAUAUGAAUAAGUGUAUGGAAAGAAAAGAAAAGGGAUGAAAAAUCCAAAUUUUAAUUGAAUUAUGACAUAAGCAUGACCUCACCAUGGCACAAUUAAAAAUUAUAAUUUAAAUUAAUUAAUUUUGGAGACAAUUAUAUAAGAGACAAGACAAAAAAUUAAAAGCCAAAAAAAUUAUGUUCUUCCUCCUUUAAAUGGCCUGCUCCCUUAGCUCUCUCUCCCUUCCACCAUUUUCACCAAUCCAAGCUUCUAAAACCUUGUUCUUCCUCCAAAAUUCUCAUAUAAAAUUUGUAGAGAACAUUAAAUCAACCUUUCAUUGAGAGAUUAGAUGCAAGAAGAAUAAGAAAAAUUAGGAGGAAAUUGAAGUUGGGAAAUCAUCAAUUGAGGUGAGCUCUCUUUCAUGCUUGAUUUAUUGUGUAUACCUUGAAUUAAGUUUGAUUUUAAUGAAUUUACAUGAAAAAGUAUGAGAAUCAUGCAUGAAUUGAGGGAGUUGAUUUUCGGCCAGCUUGAGGGAUGUAACAACCUCAUUUUUGUAGUCCGUACGUUAUACUGUUCCGACAGCUAAUGUCUACCCCGGAAAGUCGGAAUGUCUGGA